GCUUCCUUGGCUCAGUUGGCUAGAGCGCAGGUCUCAUACCAAUGCGUAUGACAUUGCUUAUCGUGAUGUAAUCCUGAGGUCGCAAGUUCGAGCCUUGCAGGGAGCA